rnacentral:rRNA from 1 species
AUGGCGACCGGCGCACGGGUGAGUAACGCGUAUCCAACCUGCCCUUUACGUAUGGGACAGCCCGUCGAAAGGCGGAUUAAUACCGUAUGUUGUCAUGUUGAUGCAUAUUUUCAUGACCAAAGGCUUCGGCCGGUAAAGGAUGGGGAUGCGUCUGAUUAGCUUGCCGGCGGGGUAACGGCCCACCGGGGCGACGAUCAGUAGGGGUUCUGAGAGGAAGGUCCCCCCACAUUGGAACUGAGACACGGUCCAAACUCCUACGGGAGGCAGCAG